ACGAACGCUGGCGGCAUGCCUAACACAUGCCAGUCGAACGAGACCUUCGGGUCUAGUGGCGCACGGGUGCGUAACGCGUGGGAACCUGCCCUUAGGUUCGGAAUAACUCCCCGAAAGGGGUGCUAAUACCGGAUAAUGUCUUCGGACCAAAGAUUUAUCGCCUUUGGAUGGGCCCGCGUUGGAUUAGCUAGUUGGUAGGGUAAAAGCCUACCAAGGCGACGAUCCAUAGCUGGUCUGAGAGGAUGAUCAGCCACACUGGGACUGAGACACGGCCCAGACUCCUACGGGAGGCAGCAGUGGGGAAUAUUGGGCAAUGGGCGAAAGCCUGAUCCAGCAAUGCCGCGUGAGUGAUGAAGGCCUUAGGGUUGUAAAGCUCUUUUACCCGGGAUGAUAAUGACAGUACCGGGAGAAUAAGCUCCGGCUAACUCCGUG
rnacentral:rRNA from 1 species